rnacentral:lncRNA from 1 species
UGUCGUUGACCAAGCCCAUGCCAGUGCCCCGCCGUUCCAUUCUCUCCUCCUUCCUCCUUUUCCUUUGCUCUGAAACUCCUCUCUGUUUUCCCUGUUUUUGCAGCAUCCCCAUGUCAUGGUGCCCAAGCUCAUGGCUGCCGGAGCUUCGUCGGACGCCUCCAGCACCGGGAACGGGACCCCCUCGCCCAGAUCCAUGCCCCCUCGAGCUCACC